UCUCUUCUUUCUUCUUCUCAACCUACCAAAAUGUGGAGGUGUAGACGACGACCGGAACGAAUGAAGACGAGGAUUCAGGUGUGCGCAAGAG